CUCCGGUUGAUCCUGCCGGACCUGACUGCUAUCGGAUUGGUACUAAGCCAUGCGAGUCAUUGUAGCAAUACAAGGCGGACGGCUCAGUAACACGUAGUCAACCUAACUCGUGGACGUGGAUAACCUCGGGAAACUGAGAAUAAACCGCGAUAGAUCAUUAUGCCUGGAAUGGCUUAUGGUCCAAACAGUUUACUGCCAUGGGAUGGGACUGCGGCCUAUCAGCUUGUUGGUGAGGUAAUGGCCCACCAAGGCGAUUACAGGUACGGGCUCUGAGAGGAGAAGCCCGGAGAUGGGUACUGAGACACGGACCCAGGCCCUAUGGGGCGCAGCAGGCGAGAAACCUUAGCAAUGUGCGAAAGCACGACUGGGUCAGUCCGAGUGAUUCCUGAUAAAGGAGUCUUUUGCUUGUCCUAAAAGCACAGGUGAAUAAGGGGUGGGCAAGUCUGGUGUCAGCCGCCGCGGUAAUACCAGCACCUCGAGUGGUCAGGACGUUUAUUGGGCCUAAAGCAUCCGUAGCCGGCUUUGCAAGUCUUCGGUUAAAUCCACCUGCUCAACAGAUGGGCUGCCGGAGAUACUACAAAGCUAGGGAGCGGGAGAGGCAGACGGUAUUCGGUGGGUAGGGGUAAAAUCCACUGAUCCAUCGAGGACCACCAGUGGCGAAGGCGGUCUGCCAGAACACGUUCGACGGUGAGGGAUGAAAGCUGGGGGAGCAAACCGGAUUAGAUACCCGGGUAGUCCCAGCUGUAAACGAUGCAAACUCGGUGAUGCAUUGGCUUAUGGCCAAUGCAGUGCCGCAGGGAAGCCGUUAAGUUUGCCGCCUGGGAAGUACGGACGCAAGUCUGAAACUUAAAGGAAUUGGCGGGGGAGCA
rnacentral:rRNA from 1 species